UACGAACCGGACAAACGUUAUUCGGAAUCAUUGGGCUUAAAGGGUGCGUAGGCGGUGCUGUAAGUCGGGUGUGAAAUCCCUCGGCUCAACCGAGGAAUUGCGCCCGAUACUGCUGUGCUCGAGGGAGACAGAGGUGAGCGGAACUGAUGGUGGAGCGGUGAAAUGCGUUGAUAUCAUCAGGAACACCGGUGGCGAAAGCGGCUCACUGGGUCUCUUCUGACGCUGAGGCACGAAAGCUAGGGUAGCGAACAGG
rnacentral:misc_RNA from 1 species